ACACAGCAGGAUCAGCACCCAUAUUCUUGUUUAUUCAGUUGUUAGGAAAAAUAAUAACAAUAAUGUUAUUCCUUUUUCGGGGACUGUAAAGUUACAAUUUUACUUUCACAAUCAAUUAUUGCUCUGUACUUCUCUAACCAGUCCAUUCCUAAUAUCACAUCAAAUCUUGCAAAAUCUAACAGCAUUAAAUUCACAAAUACUUCUAUUCUUGAAGCUUUUAUUUUACAAUCUUUAUAUACACAAUGAGCUUCUAAUAAUCCCCUAUAAAGCGUUUCUACCGUCAAUGUUUUAGCUAAAGGUUCUGACCUAAAAUCAAGAUUACCAGGAAGUACUUAGAAAAUAAAAGAGUGAGUAGCACCUAUAUCAAUCAAAGCCUUUGUAGAAGUAUCAUGGAUAGAAAACAUACCCUGGAUGAGAACAAGAGUGGGGAGAGCAUCGAGUUCAUUUAGGUGGUACACGCAACCUAGUGCUGCAAGCCUAGCCACAUUUUUUGGUCACUCGGGGUAGUCUUUUAUAAGAUGUUGGGUGCUUCUGCAUUGAUAGCAUGCAUGAUUGAUACGCCGACAGGGAAGAUUCCCAUACGAGCGAUCACAAUGCUAACAGAGUUGGUUAGGUGGGACAGGUUGAACUUUAAGUGGACGCAAGGUAGGGGGAAGAGCAAUUCUAAUUCAUUUAUCGGGGUGGCUAGUAACUAGAUCACGCAAUCUCCUCCUAAGUUAUUAGGGUUGUUGUUGGGUACGAACUCGAGCAAUGCAUUGGUGCUUGACCAAGAUGAGGUCUUCAGCUAAUUGGGCAUGUUCUAGCAUCUCUGAAUAUGAGAUGGGUCUUAGCAUCACGAUCUGCUCAUAGAUGUCGGCAUGAAGGCAUUUUAGAAACUUCCUACCUUUUUGGCUUU
rnacentral:lncRNA from 1 species